AGGUGGAGCCGAGCCGAGCCGAGCCGAACGCCUUCAAGCCGAGCCGAGCUCCUUGUUUCACCAAGCCACCUAAGCCUUCCUUCCUCCGCUCCGGGUCACGGUGGUACAGAGUUGACGCUUGAGUUCUCGGGUCUCGCGGUAGGCUUGUUUGGAGGUAGUUUUCCUUUCCUUGGGUGGAUCUGUUGAGCGUGGAUUCGAUCGAGGGGCAUAACCGAGUAUCAGGUAAGGGCACAGCGAGGGGCAGACCGACGAGAGGCAGGAAGGACGCGUGAAGGCCAUAUGGACGCGUCCGGUUUUCUCAUCGCUUCCGCUAUGUAUUUUGUCAGAAUAUUUGACUUGUGAUUUUGAACUGGUGACUUGAGUUUUUAUUUGUGACUUUUUUGAUUGAUUUAAAA